CGAUCAAUGAACGCAGAGCGCUGCUGCUUCGAAGAAGAGCAAGAACCAAGCCCCUUCAGCCGCCAGAGUGGUAGCGAGAACGGCAGUGGAGUGAAGGUGGAGUGGAGCUCGUUGCUCGCGGUGUUGUUUUUAGUUCGAUGACUCACACAUACACAAACAUAUGCACAGCAAGGCAAGAGUGGGAGGGAGAGCACUAGCACUUGAACUGCUGCUUAUCAGACUGAAAUGAGAGCACUUUUGCCUCUGCCUCUGCCUGCAUGUGGUGUCCAUGUGUGCAGUAUGUUUCUGGCGAGGCACCCUGUAACUACGUUUUGCUCCGCUUGCGGCCAGCAUUCUUGCACGUCGUCAAAUGGCAAAGACAGGCCAACGGCAACCACAAGAAAUGGAUAAAAGCCUCAGGAGUCGAAGCGUUAGAUACUCUUGCAGAUCGACAAUUUUCUGCUGGAGCUGCAUAUGCAGUGCACAUGUGUCCACAGCAAGACAAACCGCUGGUCAAAGUAAUAACUGCCUCUGCAAGAGUAUAAAAUCGUUUAAGAUCAAAAACAAAUGUUUGACCGUUUCUGAAAAGCCGCAGUCUGGAGAAGAGAGAUAAAGAGAGAUAGAACGUUCACCCACAACAGCAAAGAAUUGGAACCGUCAUGGAGUUGAAAGAUAAGAAUUUGUCAGAUUUUGCAGCUAUCCGAUACACAGAUGUCCGAUGUAGCCCGGGUUGCAGUAGGUAUCACAAUGAGCUGAACUACAACCUUCUUCACGCAGGAGAUUGAGGAAGGAUGGAGGGUCCUUCUAGGGCUACGAUCAGGAGUACAGCUC